CUCGCUUAUUCCGGUCCUUUACAACGUUUCGCAAGGCUCGAGCAAUAACAAAGUAUAGAUUUGAGAAAUUAUGAAGCAAAUCAAAAGUUUAUUAAAAUGUGUGAAAGGGAACAUAUUUUGCUACAAAUAACUGCAUAUUAAUGUUACAUAGUGUCUUCAAUGGAAAUCUAUAAUCCAUGCAUUGAUCCAAUCUUAUAUGUUGUCAAGUGAUUAGUGAAAGGCCUAUUUGGGCUUGAUGUCAAAUACUUUCCAAAUGAUGCUUCAAAUACUUUUCAUCAGUUUAAUCCUGCAAGAAUUAACCAGUUAUACUGAGGCAUUUUGAAACCAAUCUGAACUCGGUUGUUUUACCUGGUUAUAAUCGGCAUUAGCUUAACCCUUAAGUUCCGAAGUACACCUUUAAGUGUUUUUAAACAUACCUAUAAAUAUAUGAUUUCAAGUCAAUGAUCCACAGCAGUCCGGAAAAACAACAUCUUUACAUGGGUUAUAUUAUAAACUUUGCUUGUAUUUUUUUCUUCAAAAAAUCAGUAACAUUUGAUUUCCUGAGGUCGUUAAAUGACACAAUCCCAAGUUAAAAACAUUAAUGAGCUCAAAAACAGUAAGACUAAUGAUUCUUAUUAAAAAUAACUGAUUUCUUAUGAAUGUAUAUAUACUUUUGUUUUAUUUUUCUUAUCUUGGAAAAUAACUGAACUAAAACUUGAAACUUAAAAAAAAAUUAAAACUUAAAACUGAAAAAUAACUGAAUUCUUUUUUUACUUGAAAAAUAAAUGAAGCUUUUGAUUUAAAAUCUAAAAUGUUGUUUACACUUCUUGUUAACCUUAUUUUAUAGAUAUCCAUGUAUAAUUAUUUGUAAAAAGAACAUGUAAUAAAGAGCUAUAUUUGAUAGAUAAUAAAGGUAAAGUACUCUUAAAAAAUGUUCUUUGUCUAUAUUUUGAAAGCAACAAGAUACAUAAAUUGUUUUGAAUAUUUUCUCAUGGUUUUGCAAAAGCUAGGACUACAAUUUUUUAAAAUUAUGUAAGAUACAAAAGUAAUUUUUGUUCAUGCUUUAUUCUAAUUUAAUUUCAUCCAUGAAAUAUAUGCUAUGGAAUGUUAAACAUUAAAUUGUUAUACCUACACGUUUCCGUCUGUUUUUUUCUGAAAGUGUCCAAUUGAAAAAGGUGUUGUAAAAAUAUUUUUUUUAUAAAAAGGUUAUUUAGACCACCCUAUCAAUUUUAUGCUGUCAAUCGAUGCUGAGAUAAACUAUUUCUGGAAGUCUAGAAAUUUUGUUUUAAAUAUUCGAGAAAACUUGAAGUUUUCUCGAAUAUUUAAAACGUUUUUCAUGCCUUCGACGCACAAUGUGCCUACAAAGACAGUUAGGAACACAUCUUUCGCGCCCUUAAAUACACGAUUUUCGGAAUUCAACUUUUGUUAUGGAUAGGAUGAACAAAAAAUUUAAUGAGGAAUCUAAAAGAUAUUCGUAGUGAAACAGUCAAUACGCCCUAUUAUAUUGGGUAAUAAUGAUUAGUUAGUACUCCAUAAACUAUUGCUUAACGAUUUUUAAACUAUUUAAUGAAAUAAAUUAAAGUCUUUUUUAUCAGCA
rnacentral:lncRNA from 1 species